CGCUUGAUUUUGUAUAAACCCUGCAUAUCAGAUUGGGUACCUACCCAUGGACAGCGAAUGAGGAAGAAGAUGCCUCCGACUUGGGGCAGCUCAGUAGAUCACCAGGCAGAGACCAGCAAUUAUCAGGUCUCUGCACGGGGCGUCUAGAAGACAGGCAAAUUCACGAAGCCCGGCCAAAGGGUGCGAAUUUACGCGCUGGCCUUUUCAACUGGUCUUCAAAACUGAUUAGACGUUUGAAAAUGACACUCCUCCACAUUUCGUUUGUUCCCGAUAAUUCUCACUCCUUGAACUGUCCAGGCAGCUCAACAGAGAAGGGUAGAGAAGGUGAAGAAAACUACCAUCAUCGGUAGAUGCACGCUGUUCCCCUGCACAGGCGAAAAGGGAGAGAAGGGCAGAGCCACGUGGAUUCAAUUGGCUGUCUUAUGCUGGGUCUCACCAGGCUUGAUGUUUUCGGUUUACAUCUGCAAUACCCGGAAUACAGCAGAUCCCCCCUUAUCCACCGAGGAUACGUUUUAGGACCCUGAGUGGGUGCCUGAAAUGGUGGCGAGCAAAAUCACAGAGAGAAGACAGACUUCUUUAUUAUGUGCAGAAUAACACUUUAAUGGACUUUUUCUUUAUGAAACUCAUAAAUCCCAGAUCAUCUUCUGGAAUAAAGAAUCUAAAUGUUUUCCAUAACUAAAAUGUCUUCACUGAGGGCAGAAUUGCAAAUCUCAGAUGAUUUUCUUCUAGAAACAACUUUUUUCCGCCCUUCUAUGGAAGCCUCGGAAAAGACCCAUUUGGACUCCAAGUUGGGAAGACAUGGCCCUUUGGAAGCUGGGUUGGCCUUUUCAUCAUGACCGUGGGACAGGGCCUACGGAGAACGGUGUCCAAUGGAAACCCGAGGAAGUCUUGGUGCAUUGGCUCCAAGAGCAGCCGAAGCUUCUGUUAUCCCCACGCUUUCACCAAAACCUUGUUAAUUAUUACAAUCUAUAUUUAGCAUUAAGGAAUGGUCCAGGGUUCAAGCUUGAGCAGAGCAGUUCUGGAAACAACAGAAACCCCGGAAAAGCUAGAGUCCAGGCCAUGCGGGUGACUGGACGUGGGCCAGAGGAGCAGACAAGAACCAGACGGUGUCAUUUGGGGCAUCAUAGAAUACAGGCCUUGGACCACUGUCUUCAAGGUGUUAUUGAGCAUGUGACUCAUGUAGGCUAGAGGGGUCUGGGGCACUUGGGUGUCAGGCAAAUUUACCUAGCAAUUCCUUAUGCUUUUAUAUGCAUGGCAUCCCACCCUG